rfam:Firmicutes bacterium M10-2 genomic scaffold acPFH-supercont1.4, whole genome shotgun sequence.
GAUCAAGUAGGCAAGGGCGUACGGAGGAUGCCUGGCCACUCGAAACUGAAGAAGGACGCACCGAACUGCGAAAAGCGGCGCCGAGCUGUAAGGAAGCGAAGACGCGCCGGUAUCCGAAUGGGGGAACCCGGCAUGGCGAGAGCGAUGUCAUCCUAUGAUGAAGAAGAUAGUCAUAGAGAGAGGAACCCGGGGAACUGAAACAUCUAAGUACCCGGAGGAAAAGAAAACAACAGUGAUUUCCCGAGUAGCGGCGAGCGAAAGGGAAGGAGCCCAAACCGAUCGAAGGAUCGGGGUAGAAGGGCCUUCGAGAAAGCGGAAGCGGAAGCAUAGCCGAGCGUGAACGGAAGCACGGCCGAAGAGGGUGAAAGCCCCGUAGGCGAAAUGCGAGAAGCAGAAGCGAGAAGGACCCUGAGUACGGCGAGACACGAGAAAUCUUGUCGGAAGCAGGCGGGACCAUCCGCCAAGGCUAAAUAUAAACGAGUGAGCGAUAGAGAACAAGUACCGUGAGGGAAAGGUGAAAAGAACCGCGGGAGCGGAGUGAAAGAGAACCUGAAACCGUAUGCCUACAAGAAGUCAGAGCCCGUCAAAGGGUGAUGGCGUGCCUUUUGUAGAAUGAACCGGCGAGUUGCGUCAUAAUGCGAGGUUAAGCAGGAAAGAGCGGAGCCGAAGCGAAAGCGAGUCUGAAGAGGGCGAAGAGAGUAGUAUGAUGCAGACCCGAAACCGGGUGAUCUAGCCAUGGGCAGGUUGAAGCAGGAGUGAAAUUCUGUGGAGGACCGAACCGACUACCGUUGAAAAGUUAGCGGAUGACCUGUGGCUAGGGGAGAAAUUCCAAUCGAACCCGGAGAUAGCUGGUUCUCCCCGAAAUAGCUUUAGGGCUAGCGUCGGCCGAUAAGCGAGGGAGGUAGAGCACUGAAUGCAUGAUGGCCCCAUCCCGGGGUACUGAAUGCAAUCAAACUGCGAAUGCCCUCGAAAGAAGAGGCCGGCAGUCAGACUGUGGGUGAUAAGGUCCAUGGUCGAGAGGGAAACAGCCCAGACCGCCAGCAAAGGUCCCGAAAUACAGGCUAAGUGGAAAAGGAUGUGGGGACGCACGGACAGCUAGGAGGUUGGCUCAGAAGCAGCCAUCCUUUGAAGAGUGCGUAACAGCUCACUAGUCGAGUGGCCCUGCGCCGAAAAUGUACCGGGGCUAAGCCUGAUACCGAAGCUGCGGAUGUACCUGCAAGGGUAUAUGGUAGGGGAGCGUUGCAUGCAGGAAGAAGUAUGAUCGCGAGAGGAUAUGGACAGCAUGGAAGCGAGAAUGCCGGUGUGAGUAGCGAGAUGUAGGUGAGAAUCCUACACACCGAAAGCCCAAGGAUUCCAGGGGAAGGUUCGUCCGCCCUGGGUAAGUCGGGACCUAACGCGAGGCCGAGAGGCGUAGCGGAUGGAAAGCAGGCGGAGAAUCCUGCACCCGCGCGAUACGAGGCGAAGGAGUGACGGAGACGGAGUAGGCAGCCCUCUGAAUGGAUUGAGGGCCAAGCGCAGCAGUCGGAUACCAGGGAAAUCCGGUAUCGGAAGACAGGGCGUGAAGGGGAAGCGAAAGCAGAAAUGCAAGUAGCGAAGUGCCGAGGACGGCUUCCAAGAAAAGCUUCUAGCAAAGUGGUAUCGAGCGGCCCGUACCAAAACCGACACAGGUGGGCAGGCAGAGGAUGCCGAGGUGAGCGAGAGAACUGUUGCCAAGGAACUCGGCAAAAUGGCCCCGUAACUUCGGGAGAAGGGGCGCUCAUGGAAGUGAGCCGCAGUGAAAAGGCCCAAGCGACUGUUUAACUAAAACACAGCUCUCUGCGAAGCCGCAAGGCGAAGUAUAGGGGGUGACACCUGCCCGGUGCUGGAAGGUUAAGGGGACGAGUGAAUCGAAAGAUGAAGCUCGGAACCGAAGCCCCAGUGAACGGCGGCCGUAACUAUAACGGUCCUAAGGUAGCGAAAUUCCUUGUCAGGUAAGUUCUGACCCGCACGAAAGGUGUAACGAUUUGGGCGCUGUCUCGGCAGCAGGCUCGGUGAAAUCUUAGUACCUGUGAAAAUGCAGGUUACCCGCAACUAGACGGAAAGACCCCAUGGAGCUUUACUGCAGCUCGGCAUUGGAUUUUGGGCAGACAUGUACAGGAUAGGUGGGAGACGAAGAGAGAUAUACGCCAGUGUAUCAGGAGUCGAUGUUGGGAUACCACCCUUGUGUGCUUGAGGUCCUAACCCAGGUCCGUGACCCGGAUCGGGGAGAGUGCCAGGCGGGCAGUUUGACUGGGGCGGUCGCCUCCCAAAGAGUAACGGAGGCGCCCAAAGGUACGCUCAGUCUGGAUGGAAACCAGAUGAAGAGUGCAAAUGCAGAAGCGUGCUUGACUGUGAGAGCAACAACUCGAACAGGGACGAAAGUCGGGAUUAGUGAUCCGGCGGUGCCGAAUGGAAGGGCCGUCGCUCAACGGAUAAAAGCUACCCUGGGGAUAACAGGCUGAUCUCGCCCAAGAGUUCACAUCGACGGCGAGGUUUGGCACCUCGAUGUCGGCUCAUCGCAUCCUGGAGCUGGAUUCGGUUCCAAGGGUUGGGCUGUCCGCCCAUUAAAGCGGUACGCGAGCUGGGUUCAGAACGUCGUGAGACAGUUCGGUCCCUAUCUGUUGUGGGCGAAGGAGAUCUGAGGGGAGCUGUCCUCAGUACGAGAGGACCGGGAUGGACCUGCCUCUGGUGCAUCGGUUAUCACGCCAGUGGUACAGCCGGGUAGCCAAGCAGGGAAGGGAUAAGCGCUGAAAGCAUCUAAGCACGAAGCCCACCCCGAGAUGAGAUCUCCCAUUCUGAAAAGAAGUAAGGCCCCUCAAAGACGAUGAGGUAGAUAGGCCGGAGAUGGAAGCAUAGCGAUAUGCGGAGUUGACCGGUACUAAUCGGCCGAGGACUUGAUCAG